CCUACGGGAGGCAGCAGUGGGGAAUAUUGCACAAUGGGGGAAACCCUGAUGCAGCCAUGCCGCGUGUGUGAAGAAGGCCUUCGGGUUGUAAAGCACUUUCAGCUGUGAGGAAGGGUGAGUCGUUAAUAGCGGUUUAUCUUGACGUUAGCAGCAGAAGAAGCACCGGCUAACUCCGUGCCAGCAGCCGCGGUAAUACGGAGGGUGCGAGCGUUAAUCGGAAUUACUGGGCGUAAAGCGCAUGCAGGCGGUCUGUUAAGCAAGAUGUGAAAGCCCCGGGCUCAACCUGGGAAAGUCAUUUUGAACUGGCAGGCUAGAGUCUUGUAGAGGGGGGUAGAAUUUCAGGUGUAGCGGUGAAAUGCGUAGAGAUCUGAAGGAAUACCGGUGGCGAAGGCGGCCCCCUGGACAAAGACUGACGCUCAGAUGCGAAAGCGUGGGGAGCAAACAGGAUUAGAUACCCUGGUAGUCCACGCCGUAAACGAUGUCUACUUGGAGGCUGUUGUCUAGAACAGUGGCUUUCGGAGCUAACGCGUUAAGUAGACCGCCUGGGGAGUACGGUCGCAAGAUUAAAACUCAAAGAAUGACGG
rnacentral:rRNA from 1 species